rnacentral:lncRNA from 1 species
UUCCGGCUAGUCCCAGUGCAUAUUGUCUCCCGCACGAGAUCUAGUCACUCGCUGGUGCGUGAGCACUAACUUAGUCAGAUUUCAGGACAAAUUCAGCAUCACUAGUGGUCGCCUCCUCAACUAGACUUAUCCUAGUCGACUUCUAGCCAGUGCCUACAUGAACCAACAAUGAAUGGUAGCAGCGGUUCAGUCACACUCCAGCCAACUUGGUCAGUGACCUCCAUUUAGGGGUUCUUUACUGCCAAGGAGUGGCAGUACCGGUCGGCGUUCCCGACUAGAAUGUAGGUUCUAUCUUUCUAUCUUUCUUACCUUUGUAUAUUUUGUUUAUCAAUUGAUUGUUUAUACUUGUUGUACAUUUCGUU